GCUAGUGCAUCUGAUGACUUAGCUUUUUUCCCCAUCAGAUCGACCCUGUUGAUCUAAUUAAACUAAUAGCCAGUUUUGUCUGAUGCAUUGGC
ensembl:snoRNA small nucleolar RNA, C/D box 12